rnacentral:rRNA from 1 species
AGUGAACGCUGGCGGUAGGCCUAACACAUGCAAGUCGAACGGCAGCACAGUAAGAGCUUGCUCUUACGGGUGGCGAGUGGCGGACGGGUGAGGAAUACAUCGGAAUCUACUUUUUCGUGGGGGAUAACGUAGGGAAACUUACGCUAAUACCGCAUACGACCUACGGGUGAAAGCAGUGGAUCUUCGGACCUUGCGCGAUUGAAUGAGCCGAGCGCGGAUUAGCUAGUUGGCGGGGUAAAGGCCCACCAAGGCGACGAUCCGUAGCUGGUCCGAGAGGAUGGUCCGCCACACUGGGACCGGGACAAGGUCCAGACCCCUAAGGGGGGGAGCAGUGGGGGAUAUUGGAGAAUGGGGGGAAGCCUGAUCCAGCCAUACCGCGUGGGUGAAGAAGGGCUUCGGGUUGUAAAGCCCUUUUGUUGAGAAAGAAAAGAAGCAGGUUAAUACCCCGCUGUUCUGACGGUACCCAAAGAAUAAGCACCGGCUAACUUCGUGC